rnacentral:tRNA from 1 species
GAGGGUGUAGCUCAGUGGUAGAGCUCAUGCUUAGCAUGCAUGAGGUCUUGGGUUCAAUACCCAGCACCUCUG